rnacentral:tRNA from 1 species
AAGGCUUUAUCUUAAUUAAAGAACCUAAGUUGCAUUUAGGGGAUGUGGAAGAUUUUCCGCAAGUCUUA